rnacentral:rRNA from 1 species
UGGGGAAUAUUGCACAAUGGGCGCAAGCCUGAUGCAGCCAUGCCGCGUGUAUGAAGAAGGCCUUCGGGUUGUAAAGUACUUUCAGCGGGGAGGAAGGGAGUAAAGUUAAUACCUUUGCUCAUUGACGUUACCCGCAGAAGAAGCACCGGCUAACUCCGUGCCAGCAGCCGCGGUAAUACGGAGGGUGCAAGCGUUAAUCGGAAUUACUGGGCGUAAAGCGCACGCAGGCGGUUUGUUAAGUCGGAUGUGAAAGCACCCGGCUCAACCGGGGAGGGGAAUUGGAAACUGGGAGACUAGAGUGCGGAAGAGGAGAGUGGAAUUCCAUGUGUAGCGGUGAAAUGCGUAGAUAUAUGGAGGAACACCAGUGGCGAAGGCGGCUCUCUGGUCUGGAACUGACGCUGAGGCUCGAAAGCGUGGGGAGCAAACAGG